rnacentral:rRNA from 1 species
GUGUCAGCCGCCGCGGUAAUACGAAGGGGGCUAGCGUUGCUCGGAAUUACUGGGCGUAAAGCGCACGUAGGCGGAUUCUUAAGUCAGGGGUGAAAUCCCGGAGCUCAACUCCGGAACUGCCUUUGAUACUGAGAAUCUCGAGUCCGGGAGAGGUGAGUGGAACUCCGAGUGUAGAGGUGAAAUUCGUAGAUAUUCGGAAGAACACCAGUGGCGAAGGCGGCUCACUGGCCCGGUACUGACGCUGAGGUGCGAAAGCGUGGGGAGCAAACAGGAUUAGAAACCCCCGUAGUCC